UACGGAGGAUGCAAGCGUUAUCCGGAAUGAUUGGGCGUAAAGCGUCCGCAGGUGCGAUGUAAGUCUGCUGUUAAAGAGCAAAGCUUAACUUUGUAAAAGCAGUGGAAACUACAUCGCUAGAGUGCGUUCGGGGCAGAGGGAAUUCCUGGUGUAGCGGUGAAAUGCGUAGAGAUCAGGAAGAACACCGGUGGCGAAGGCGCUCUGCUAGGCCGCAACUGACACUGAGGGACGAAAGCUAGGGGAGCGAAUGGG
rnacentral:rRNA from 1 species